AACGAACGCUGGCGGCAUGCCUAACAUAUGCAAGUCGAACGAGACCUUCGGGUCUAGUGGCGCACGGGUGCGUAACGCGUGGGAACCUGCCCUUAGGUUCGGAAUAACUCCCCGAAAGGGGUGCUAAUACCGGAUAAUGUCUUCGGACCAAAGAUUUAUCGCCUUUGGAUGGGCCCGCGUUGGAUUAGCUAGUUGGUAGGGUAAAAGCCUACCAAGGCGACGAUCCAUAGCUGGUCUGAGAGGAUGAUCAGCCACACUGGGACUGAGACACGGCCCAGACUCCUACGGGAGGCAGGAGUGGGGAAUAUUGGACAAUGGGCGAAAGCCUGAUCCAGCAAUGCCGCGUGAGUGAUGAAGGCCUUAGGGUUGUAAAGCUCUUUUACCCGGGAUGAUAAUGACAGUACCGGGAGAAUAAGCUCCGGCUAACUCCGUG
rnacentral:rRNA from 1 species